rnacentral:lncRNA from 1 species
UCUACAAGUAUCUACUCGAGAUCAGUUUGGAACAGUCUUCUUUAAUCUAAAUUUUGAUUCUCCAAAAUUCAGCCUGUUGAAGCUGAAUGAAGCCAGGAUCGCGAUCAACACUUGAUCUUUCUCCUUGAUCUUCUUCUUCUCUUUUUCUCUAGAUUUUUCUCCUACUAUAUGCUAUUAUAAAAUACCAACAACCAGCCAAGAGGGAAUGCCCAACACCUUGGGCAUGUGGGGCUUUGGGACAUCCCAAAGGAUUGGGACGUGUGGGACGCCCAAAGGGAGAUGGGAGAGGGAGAGAAAGAUAAGGCUUAGGG